rnacentral:rRNA from 1 species
UACGAAGGGGGCUAGCGUUGCUCGGAAUCACUGGGCGUAAAGCGCACGCAGGCGGAUCGUUAAGUCAGGGGCGAAAUGCCGAGGCUCAACCUCGGAACUGCCUUUGAUACUGGCGAGCUUGAGUCCGGGAGAGGUGAGUGGAACUGCGAGUGUAGAGGUGAAAUUCGUAGAUAUUCGCAAGAACACCAGUGGCGAAGGCGGCUCACUGGCCCGGUACUGACGCUGAGGUGCGAAAGCGUGGGGAGCAAACAGG